CUACGGGAUGCACCAGUGAGGAAUUUUGCGCAAUGGGGGAAACCCUGACGCAGCAACGCCGCGUGAGUGAUGAAGGCCUUCGGGUCGUAAAGCUCUGUCAAGUGGGAAGAACCCACCCUGCGCUAAUAUCACAGGGUGCUGACGGUACCACUGAAGGAAGCACCGGCUAACUCCGUGCCAGCAGCCGCGGUAAUACGGAGGGUGCAAGCGUUAUUCGGAAUUACGGGCGUAAAGGGCGCGUAGGCGGCUUUUUAAGUCAGAUGUGAAAUCCCGGGGCUCAACCCCGGAAGUGCCUCUGAAACUAAGAAGCUUGAGUAUGGGAGAGGGAAGUGGAAUUCCUGGUGUAGAGGUGAAAUUCGUAGAUAUCAGGAGGAACACCGGUGGCGAAGGCGACUUCCUGGACCAAUACUGACGCUGAGGCGCGAAGGCGUGGGGAGCAAACAGGAUUAGAUACCCCCGUAGUC
rnacentral:rRNA from 1 species